UACGAAGGGGGCUAGCGUUGCUCGGAAUCACUGGGCUUAAAGGGCGCGUAGGCGGGUGCUCAAGUCCGUGGUGAAAUCCUCCGGCUCAACCGGAGAACUGCCUCGGAUACUGGGUGCCUCGAGGGUGGUAGGGGUAUGCGGAACUAUCGGUGGAGCGGUGAAAUGCGUUGAUAUCGAUAGGAACUCCGGUGGCGAAGGCGGCAUACUGGACCACCUCUGACGCUGAGGCGCGAAAGCCAGGGGAGCAAACGGG
rnacentral:rRNA from 1 species